GCACAAGCGGUGGAUCAUGUUGUUUAAUUCGAUGAUACGCGAAGAACCUUACCAGGUCUUGACAUCCCCCGCGAUGCUUUAGAGAUAAAGCGGAGGUAUUCGGGGAGACAGGUGGUGCAUGGUUGUCGUCAGCUCGUGUCGUGAGAUGUUGGGUUAAGUCCCGUAACGAGCGCAACCCUUGUCCUUAGUUACCAGCACGUUAUGGUGGGCACUCUAAGGAGACUGCCGGUGACAAACCGGAGGAAGGUGGGGAUGACGUCAAGUCAUCAUGGCCCUUACGGCCUGGGCUACACACGUGCUACAAUGGUCGGUACAAAGGGUUGCCAAGCCGCGAGGUGGAGCUAAUCCCAUAAAACCGAUCGUAGUCCGGAUCGCAGUCUGCAACUCGACUGCGUGAAGUCGGAAUCGCUAGUAAUCGUGAAUCAGAAUGUCACGGUGAAUACGUUCCCGGGCCUU
rnacentral:rRNA from 1 species